AAGAGCUCCAUUUUUCCCGCUCCACAGAGGACAUUUUAUUUUUGCAGUUCUUUGAAGUGCCCUCAGAGAUCUAAGCACCAGGCUGAAGGCAGCUCUGUGUAUCCUUGCAACAGAUUAGAACAUAUUCACAUUUUAUUUGCUCACAGAACAAAUAUUUCCCUUGGAAUGAGACCGAGGCAGUGGAGCAGGACCAGGCAGGACCAGCCACCAAAGACGGCCCCCCAGGCCCCAUGCUGGGCCUGCUCAGCGCCUGCACAAUUGGUUCCACAUAAUUGCUUCUCCACACUCACCUCAUUUAGGCCCUAUAGACACAUAUGGGCUGAUUAGUUGAGUCAUUUAUUGAUUCAGGAAUAUUUGUCGAGCCUCAACAAUGUACCAAACACUAUGCUGGUUACAGAAAUAAAGAGAGAAACACAUUCUGUCCUCAAGGGGCUCCUAAUCAAGUAGGGGAGAGAAGCAAUGUCUGUAUAUUAAUGAAUCAAAUCAAGGUGACAAAGAUAAGGCUUCAGAACCCAGGAGACAAAGUGUUUGAGGCCGAAGCUCCCUAGCGCUGGGGCCUCCACUCUGGGAAGGGCCCUGUGGGUGAAUCUCUGAGCGUUUACUGGGCUCCUUCUCUACCUGGGCUGCCGCACCCAGAACAGUUCUUAGAGUUUCCAGCCUCCUGAGCUCGCGGAAUAGCAAAGAGAUGGGGUUUCACCAUAUUGGGCCAGGUUGGUCUCGAACUCCUGACCUCAAGUGAUCUGCCUGCCUUGGCCUCCCAAAGUGCUGGGAUUACAGGCGUGAGCCACCGCUCCCGGACUUUCAGAAGAAUCAGAAAUGUUUCAAAUACAGCUAAGACCGUCUUUGGUUCCACCCAACACUUUCUCCUCAUGAGUGAUGGUAAUGUCCUGAUGAAUUUCUGCUUGGAAACAACUGGACUCAGUCAGUUGAGAAAUGACAGAGCUCAUAUGCACAACACCUUGAAGCCUUCCUUCAGCAAUGCGGACGAUACACACAACCUUCAACACUUCAGAGAGAAUCCUCCGUGAUGAUGUAUGCUCAAGUAUUUUGGUGUGAGAUGUCAUGAUACCUAUAACUUACUUAUUAAAAAUUCAGGCCAGGCACAGUGGCUCAUGCC
rnacentral:lncRNA from 1 species